GCCCCUGUAGCUCAUCAGGACAGAGCGUCUGGCUACGAACCAGGAGGUAGGGAGUUCAAGUCUCUCCAGGGGUA
rnacentral:tRNA from 1 species